rnacentral:rRNA from 1 species
UACGGAGGGGGCGAGCGUUAUUCGGAAUUAUUGGGCGUAAAGGGCGCGUAGGCGGCUGUACAAGUCAAAGGUGAAAUCCCUCGGCUCAACUGAGGAACUGCCUUUGAAACUGUACGGCUUGAGGCCGGGAGGGGGUAGCGGAAUUCCCAGUGUAGCGGUGAAAUUCGUAGAUAUUGGGAAGAACACCGGUGGCGAAGGCGGCGACCUGGUCCUUGACUGACGCUGAGGCGCGAAAGCGUGGGGAGCAAACAGG